CAGGAGGCUCAUCGGUCAUGGCAUUACCGCCUAGGCCACAUGAGUGAUCGUGGGAUGAAGGAGCUGAGGAAUCAUGGUCUAAUUCUAGAUUUGGAUAGAGGUAUUUCAGAUAUAUGUGAGCCAUACCAGAUAGAAAAAUAAAGGAGAGUGCAGUUUGCCAGCAGUUGAGCCCGUUGUGCAGCCCCACUGGAACUAGUUUACAC
rnacentral:lncRNA from 1 species